rnacentral:rRNA from 1 species
AACGAACGCUGGCGGCGUGGAUUAGGCAUGCAAGUCGAACGAAAAUCAGCGUUAUAGCAAUAUAGUGCUGAGGACAGUGGCGAAAGGGUGAGUAACACGUGGGCAAUCUGCCCUCAAGUUGGGGAUAGCUCUGCGAAAGCGGAAUUAAUACCGAAAUGUGGUCGUCCCGGGCCUCCGGGACUAUCUAAAGACGGGGACCGUAAGGCCUGUCGCUUGAGGAUGAGCCCGCGCCUAUCAGCUUGUUGGUGAGGUAACGGCUCACCAAGGCUAAGACGGGUAGCUGGUCUGAGAGGAUGGUCAGCCACACUGGGACUGAGAUACUGCCCAGACUCCUACGGGAGGCUGCGGUCGAGGAUCAUUUGCAAUGGGCGAAAGCCUGACAAUGCGACGCCGCGUGCAGGAUGAAGGG